rnacentral:rRNA from 1 species
UACGGGGGGGGCAAGCGUUGUUCGGAAUUAUUGGGCGUAAAGGGCGCGUAGGCGGCUGUACAAGUCAAAGGUGAAAUCCCUCGGCUCAACUGAGGAACUGCCUUUGAAACUGUACGGCUUGAGGCCGGGAGGGGGUAGCGGAAUUCCCAGUGUAGCGGUGAAAUGCGUAGAUAUCGAGAGGAACACCUGCGGCGAAGGCGGGUUGCUGGGCCGACACUGACGCUGAUGCGCGAAAGCCAGGGGAGCGAACGGG